rnacentral:rRNA from 1 species
GAUGAACGCUGGCGGCGUGCCUAAUACAUGCAAGUCGAGCGGCAGCACGGUCUUCGGACUGGUGGCGAGCGGCGGACGGCUGAGUAACGCGUAGGAAUAUACCCCAAAGUGAGGGAUAACUGCCCGAAAGGGUGGCUAAUACCGCAUGUGGUCUUCGGACUAAAGCCUUCGGGCGCUUUGGGAAUAGCCUGCGUAAGAUUAGCUAGUUGGUGAGGUAAUGGCUCACCAAGGCGACGAUCUUUAGCUGGUCUGAGAGGAUGACCAGCCAGACUGGAACUGAGACACGGUCCAGACUCCUACGGGAGGCAGCAGUAGGGAAUUUUCCACAAUGGGCGAAAGCCUGAUGGAGCAACGCCGCGUGCAGGAUGAAGGCCCUCGGGUCGUAAACUGCUUUUAUGUGCGAAGAAUAUGACGGUAACACAUGAAUAAGGGUCGGCUAACUACGUGCCAGCAGCCGCGUAAU